ACUGCUCAUCUUCCCCUUCACCAAAAUCGCACAAAUUCACCCUAACUCACCCCACGCGCCUUCCCCCUCCCUCCUCUUGCCACAUAGGAGUAACGGGCUCUGACAACAACAAGAUUCUCUCCCUCACUCGCCCGUUUUCAAGCUAUCUCACGUGGAUUAGAAGGCUCUAGAAGAAGGGUGUUGGAUGAGUGAGAGGCGUCGGAUCAAUCUCAUUCAAUCUGAGCCUCACAUUCACCACGUGCUCAUUUUCAAGAGAGCCUUAUCCGCUUUCUUUAAGAGGAAGAAAGAAUCCAGAGUUUGGAUAUAUAAGGGACCCUUUUCGGGUAAGGGUGGGGGGAUUUUUUUUGGUUUUGGAGAGAAUGUCUUGGGGACUAUUCAGAGGUUUCAUACUUGGUAAAGGAUUUGAGAGAUAGAUCUUCUUUAUCGCUCUUCGAUUUCUUAAAUGAUAACAGAGAUAAAGACUGAGGUUUUUUUUUUGGAUUUGUUAUUCCGUUUUCUUCUCUAUUAAAAAAUGCAAUUUUUUUUGAGUUUUUCGUUUGUUCAUAGUUUGCUUCAGAAAUUAGAAAAUUUCAAAAAAGGGAUUCCGUUUUUCUUCUCUGGUUCUUGUUUAAAGCAGUUGAUUUAAACGAGCUCGUCGCUGUUGAAGUUGUUGUUCGAGUUCGAAAGCUGAUGUUUUCCGUUUCUGGUUUGAGGUCUUGGUUGAGUUCUUUGUUGUGGAUUCAUCCGAUUCAUUUUAUUUUGAUUGUUGUAAUUUGCUGAAAGAUCAACUGGAAAUUUUAACAGAGCUGUAGCAGCCUGAAAUGGAGUGUAUAUAUUAAAGAGAAGGUUUGAAAGCAUGUCAAUAAAUUGGGAAGGCUGGCAAUUUGAGCUCGCAGAAGUCGUGGCCCUGUCACACUUUAGUUCACCUCUAUUUGGUUGCUUCUUGUUUGUUCAGUUAUUGUAUUCCUGUUAUAGCUGACUAAGGACUCGGCAUAAAGUAAUGUGUUUAACCUAUUUCAAAUGUUGCUAGGAUAUAGGAAUUGGAAUAGUCCAAUCCGUUAGCAAUUAAUCACCAACAGGUUUGGGCUUUGGUUUUUGUCCUUUUUGGCCAAGGCAUAAAAGGCUGUGCAUGUGUGUGUAUUUACAUAUGUAUAAGAAUUGUACGUCGUUUAGAAUGGAAAAUUUUUAUUUUA